rnacentral:tRNA from 1 species
GGAUCGGUGGGGUCGAGCAGAGACAGAGCGGACUGCGCUCGGAGAAGCCCUGGUGAUGCGUCGCAGGACGCGGGUUCGAUUCCCGCCGCCUCCA